UGUUCAGACUGCUGUGGCUCUGAAGGCACUUCCUUGGCAACGCUUUGAUCCCUCUUCCGGUAUUUUAGGGGCCUGAAAUGAAAAAUUGCAAAACAUUUUUUAAAAAAGCAGACUUUAAAUCUUUUUCUUGGAAUUAAAAACAGCUUCAUUAAAAUCCAGCUCCGUCCAGUAAUGAUGAACCAAUGAAUCACUUAAUGUGAUUUACGUUUGUCAGGUUUCUCCAGGAUCUUAUUAUUAUCUCAUCCUUCACUGGACAAACGGAGAAUGUGUCAUCCUCCUCGGUUUUAUAAUCACUCCAACCCCCGAGUCAAACGGACAGAAACCACCUUCUACGUAGACAAACCGUCCUUUCACUCGCCGGUUACGACUAAUUGCUGUGAACACAUUCAGACCCGCUGUCAUCACAGUUCACCUGAACAAAGACUAGAACUACUCCUGUGACGACAGUCCGAGUCCUUCUGCCGUUUAUUGUCUUUAAGAUUGGCAUAAAAAGCACCAGACAGUAGAAAUGUUCCUAAAAUAACUCGGUCUGUGCAUCAUUUAUGGGUGAAAAAUAUCACCUUUUCAGGUUAAAUGACCAAAACAUGUCUCCGUGAGUCUCCAAUCAUCGUCUCUGAUAUUUGGAAUUUUCCAAUUAUUGGUAUCUGUAAUUUUAUUUAUUAAUUAUUGAUGAACUAAAUGCUCUACUUCAGCUGUGAUCAGCCUCCUCUCUCUGUCUGCCGUCACUCUGUGGUCUUAGAAACGUCUCUCAAGUAGUGAAAACUCAACAAGAAACCAGGAAAUUUGCUUCUCUAACAGCGGCUAAGGCUAUGCUAACAGCUAAAUAUAAUACACUGUAAUGUUGGACAGCAGCAUCAUCCAUGUUUUAUGUAUAUAUUGAUGUCUUAUGUUCAGAUUUGUGGGUCUUUAAUGCGCAUUUUGUCUGUUCAUUCUGCACCAGACCACAUUUCUGCACUCAGCUGAUGAAAGAUUCCAUGGUUUCUGAUUGGGAUUAUCAUGUCCAAUGUUUGGCAUUUUCCCAGUUAUCGGUAUCUGUAUUUCUAUUGAUCGACUAUUGAUUGAUUAAAUGCCUGUCUGCCGUUACUCUGUGGUCUCAGAAACGUCUCUAAAGAAGCAAAGACUCAACAAGAAACACAAACCAGGAAGUUAGCUGGUGUGGUAGGACGGCCACUCAGGUUGUGUGCAUUGAGUCAGGUUCGUGCAGCUGGGAGUAAUCAUCCUAAUGCACCUUGCUUGCUGGGCGGUGCCACGCCAGGUUAUAUCUGGGAGAGGGCUGCGCGUUUUGUACGUGCAUCCUCUUACCUCUUUCUGGAGCCUACGUGCCACAUCAGCAACGUGGCGUGGAUGUGUGGAUCCACGUGGCGGUCUCGAGACGCUGGCUGUCGAGCUUUCUCUUGUCAGAGUCGGGCCGUAUUCGGGCUGAAGGCUGGGAGCCGGGAGUAAUAAUUCACACGCUGUAUUGAAUUCCUGAGUGAUCAUGCUGCUUUCUUCCACGGCUGUCUCCCCUGUUGCCUGAGGAGCUGCGUCUUCACGGACGGCCGGUUCUAUCGCAGAAGCGGGCUACUGCUGUUCUGUCUGUGGUUCAUCGCGGCAAGCUCUCUGCUCAUCGGC